AGGGGCUUUGUUUCUGCCAUCUUAACUGAUUUUAUCCUCAAAUUUUGUUGAAGGUGGAGGCCUUGCAAUGCUGAGUAUAAGAUUUUUGGUAUUUUACUUUAAUGGUCUGCUGUACUUGAUGCUGUUUCAUUUAUUUUACCAGAUCUAAUGAUCAAGAUGCAUCUAUACUGCUAGGAAUCCUACAUUGGUUGAGAAUUGAUUCGGAAAACUAUCCAGUGUAUCGCUCAGAAGAAUUAGACAAUGGCUCCAGAAAUAGCAAUGGCUUGUGUCUCUGAAGUUGCAUCAAAGGCUACAUCAGAUUUGUGUGAUUUGCUAACACAGCAAAUCUCUUAUUUCAGAUACAAGAAAACCUGUCAUUUUUAUCCUCAAUAAUUGGUUUAAAUCAUGCCGGCAUGUUUUAAAUUGUUGUGUGGUUUUGGUUUUAGACGGAUUGAUUCAGCCAAUUCAAGUGCCAGUCAAUCCAAUCCAAAGGCUAGAACAAGUUUUGCUGACUGACUGUCGAGUCCCAGUUCGGCCAAAUAGUCCAGCUUUUAAUAUAAUGUGUGGUAGGCAUGUAAAACAAGACGGCAAGUUACCCGGUAUAAGAAAUCAAAACAAACAAC